rnacentral:rRNA from 1 species
UCGGGAAUUUUGGGCAAUGGGGGAAACCCUGACCCAGCAACGCCGCGUGAGGGAUGAAGGUCUUCGGAUUGUAAACCUCUUUUGUGAGGGAAGAAUCGGCGCGUGAAGAGCGCGUCUUGACGGUACUUCAUGAAUAAGCCACGGCUAACUACGUGCCAGCAGCCGCGGUAAUACGUAGGGUGCAAGCGUUAAUCGGAAUUACUGGGCGUAAAGCGUGCGCAGGCGGUUGUGUAAGUCAGAUGUGAAAUCCCCGGGCUCAACCUGGGAAUUGCAUUUGAGACUGCACGGCUAGAGUGUGUCAGAGGGGGGUAGAAUUCCACGUGUAGCAGUGAAAUGCGUAGAUAUGUGGAGGAAUACCGAUGGCGAAGGCAGCCCCCUGGGAUAACACUGACGCUCAUGCACGAAAGCGUGGGGAGCAAACAGGAUUAGAUACCCCAGUAGUCCCUGAGCGGGCUGGCAAGGCGCAU